rnacentral:rRNA from 1 species
UACGUAGGGCGCAAGCGCUGUCCGGAAUUAUUGGGCGUAAAGAGCUCGUAGGCGGCCUGUUGCGUCCGCUGUGAAAUCCCGGGGCUCAACCCCGGGCCUGCAGUGGAUACGGGCUGGCUAGAGGCAGGCAGGGGAGAACGGAAUUCCUGGUGUAGCGGUGAAAUGCGCAGAUAUCAGGAGGAACACCGGUGGCGAAGGCGGCGACCUGGACGGACACUGACGCUGAGACGCGAAAGCGUGGGGAGCAAACAGG